rnacentral:rRNA from 1 species
GAUGAACGCUAGCGGCAGGCCUAACACAUGCAAGUCGAGGGGUAACGUGAGUGCUUGCACUUGACGACGACCGGCGCACGGUGAGUAACGCGUAUACAAUCUACCUUAUACUAGAGUAUAGCCCAGAGAAAUUUGGAUUAAUCCUCUAUAGUCUAUUAAUAUGACAUCAUAUAAAUAGUAAAGGUUACGGUAUAAGAUGAGUAUGCGUCCUAUUAGUUAGUUGGUAAGGUAACGGCUUACCAAGACAACGAUAGGUAGGGGCCCUGAGAGGGGGAUCCCCACACUGGUACUGAGACACGGACCAGACUCCUACGGGAGGUAGCAGUGAGGAAUAUUGGACAAUGGGCGAGAGCCUGAUCCAGCCAUGCCGCGUGCAGGAAGACGGCCCUAUGGGUUGUAAACUGCUUUUAUACAGGAAGAAACACCUCUACGUGUAGAGGCUUGACGGUACUGUAAGAAUAAGGACCGGCUAACUCCGUG